CUGCACUUGAAUGGGGGAUAAUUGAUAAGUGUGAAUGAGAGGAGUAGCAGGAAGAGGAUGAUUUGCCAUUUUGCAAAAAGAGGAGUCACAGAGGGAUCCUAGUGAAGAGGAUUAUAACUUUGCCUGUUUUGUGAUGCGGAGGUGAUGUCAUGUUGUUCUACCAUUUUAUCAUUGUUCCUUCUGAGCCUGAGUGUUCUUUCUCUUGAAGAUUCAAGUGAACCAGGGAAGGAGAAUGACAUCAGACUGGGCUUGUGCCUGAUAAUUCAUUUCUGAAGGUGCAAUAUUAAGUGUCACAGUGUCCAGCUGGUGAUAUUUUCAGCAUAGAAACCUGUUAGACACGGCAGCAUUAAGGAGAUGGAAUGAAUUGAUUUAUUUCUCUUCUGAAUUGCUUGGCAGUGCUUCAAGAUUGACGCAUCAGAUUUGCACAAUGUGCCACUUUAGGAGAUUAUUUCUUCCUUCCUUCAGCCAGACAGAAGACUGCAGUAGGGAUAUGGUUCCUGUUUGCCUAUUUCCAUCCACAACUCUGCCAGAGACGAAAGCAGUGUUUGAAACAAUUCACCAAGAUUUCCAUCUGGAAUCAUCAAGAAUGGAAUUGAUCAAAUUCCUUAAGAAAUUUACUUAAAGUCAUGAUUUUGACAGCCUAGUGCUACCUGGAAAAGGGACAGCAGCAGCCUGGAGCAGUUUUCUAGCUAACAAGAAUUUUGUUAGCUAUGUGGCCACCUAGUGGCUCUUCCAUGGAUGUCGCUGAUGCAUUGUCAGGUACACAGACAAUUGCCCACUA
rnacentral:lncRNA from 1 species